CCUGGCUGAAAGGCGGCUCCGGGCCGGGAAGGUGCGGAAAGAAUGGCUUUUUAUUGGAGUCCCGAACAAAAGAAUCUACAAUAAAGAGUAUAAUUAGGAAAUGCACAAAUCAGCGAAGGGCCAAAAACACUCACGUGCGGAUCACCUUGGCUUUGAAAAAUUAAAUGGCCCAGAAAAAGGGCGACUUAGUUCAAGCUUGUAACUAUGCUCCGUGUGCUUGCUGCUGUGCGGGCUGAGAAUCACGCUUCCAGGGUUCGGGAUUCCACCCAGCAGGCUCGUCCCCCUAGCUGUGCCACUGCAGUUCAAAGACCCAGAGAGGACUUCCCGGCCGCCCACUCCCAACUCUAGGGCCCUGGAAGGACGUAGUGUGAGUGGACACCGCACUGCGUUUGCCGGGCGAUGUUCGAGAGAGGCCGGAUCGCCGGGUCCUCCAGCCGCAGAUACCUAGCCGGUCACUGGCUUGCCAAAGCCGGCUGAGCGGGGAGUGCACCAGCGAGCCCCGAGGACCUGGCCAAGGCUGCGCGAGCACUGGAAGGGCCAGCCAUCCUGACUGUCACCACCUGGGCCAGGAGCCAGGCCAGCACCCUGCAGAGGUAGGAAUCCGGGGUGCGGUGCCACGUGUCCACUGGGCGGGCAGGCUGCGCUGUGGAGGCUUCCCUAUGAGCGCGGUGAUCUCUCAUAGGGAAGCGCAUUAGCUGUAUUGAAGGAACACUUUUCCCUACUCGGGCUGUAGGUAUCAGCUAAAUAGCAGGGAUGUUUUCUGAAGGGGCAUUUUGAAAAUAGGAAGACGCAUACAGGAGAAAGGGGUCUAUAAAGAAAAAGAUACAGUAAACUGCCAAC